UACGGGAGGCAGCAGUGGGGAAUAUUGCACAAUGGGCGAAAGCCUGAUGCAGCUAUGCCGCGUGUAUGAAGAAGGCCUUAGGGUUGUAAAGUACUUUCAUCGGGGAGGAAAAACAAAACUAAUAAUUUUAUUUCUUGACGUUACCCGAAAAAGAAGCACCGGCUAACUCCGUGCCAGCAGCCGCGGUAAUACGGAGGGUGCUAGCGUUAAUCAGAAUUACUGGGCGUAAAGAGCACGUAGGUGGUUUUUUUAAGUCAGAUGUGAAAUCCCUGGGCUUAACCUGGAACUGCAUUUUGAAACUGAAAUACUAGAGUAUCGUAGAGGGAGGUAGAAUUCUAGGUGUAGCGGUGAAAUGCGUAGAUAUCUGGAGGAAUACCUGUGGCGAAAGCGGCCUCCUAAACGAAUACUGACACUGAGGUGCGAAAGCGUGGGGAGCGAAACAGGGAUUAGAUACC
rnacentral:rRNA from 1 species